UGGUCGGCGACUACUGGACCGAUCGAAAGAAGGUUGGCCGGUUGGCCACAAGUGGGCGUACGAGAAAGCUUCACAGCAGCUUCGCUGGUGCCGAAACUGCGACCUUCAAGUAGCUCUCCUGGCAUCGGAUUCAUCAUCCGAUGCUCUACUGAUUGUGCAAUCCUUAACUGAUGGGGGGCGGCCAGCAAAAGGGUUCUCGAGACAUUGAUGAGGCUGCAGACAACCUAGCCAAGGUUGUCUGCGACCCAUCAAUCAAGGACCUGGUAUCGCGUUACUUCAUUCAUACGGAC
rnacentral:misc_RNA from 1 species